AGAGCGAACGCUGGCGGCAGGCCUAACACAUGCAAGUCGAGCGGGCAUCGCAAGAUGUCAGCGGCAGACGGGAGAGUAACACGUGGGAACAUGCCCUUCGGUUCGGAAUAACUCAGGGAAACUUGAGCUAAUACCGGAUACGUCCGUAAGGAGAAAGAUUUAUCGCCGAAGGAUUGGCCCGCGUCCGAUUAGCUAGUUGGUGAGGUAAUGGCUCACCAAGGCGACGAUCGGUAGCUGGUCUGAGAGGAUGAUCAGCCUCACUGGGACUGAGACACGGCCCAGACUCCUACGGGAGGCAGCAGUGGGGAAUAUUGGACAAUGGGCGCAAGCCUGAUCCAGCCAUGCCGCGUGGGUGAUGAAGGCCCUAGGGUUGUAAAGCCCUUUCGGCGGGGAAGAUAAUGACGGUACCCGCAGAAGAAGCCCGGCUAACUUCGUGCUAGCAGCCGC
rnacentral:rRNA from 1 species